GUGGGGACAGAAGUAAGAAAGGUGAUGAGACCAGGAGACAGAGAGAGCAGGGGGUCCUGGCACCCAUCUUUUCCACAGCCUGCACUCAGGAUGUUCCUCGGGCAUGCUCUGUCCCAGGCCCAGUGCUUCCAGACAGAGCACGCGGCCCUGGCCAGGUCCCUUCCCCUGUCCUGAUCAGCGUGGAGCAGGAGAUCCCCAAGGAGGCCAAGUCCACUCCCUGCCCCCACAAGGGCCGUCUCAAUAAAGAGCUGGAUCGGCUCCCAUCCCUUCCUCCAAGCUGGGGCAAAGUCAAAUACAGGUGCCUCCUACCCCAGGGAACUUUGGCCCCAGCCCUGCCUGAGCCCAGAUCAGACAGAGGACGACAAGAGACGGUGUGUAGGUAAGUGAAGGCCUCCCUGGGGAACUCAGAUCCUGAAAAGAGUUAGAGAAGUGGAGGGCCCAUAGGUCAUACUCCCCCAGGACCCAGGAACCAGGGCCCCAGCCCUUCCUAUCACAGACCCCGGAUUCCAGGCCCCCACUUCAGGUUCCAGACCUCCAGCCCCCUCCACCCUCAGACCCAGAAUUGCAAGUCCUUCUCUUUGGGAGCAUUAGAUCAACUGGGCUUAGCUUACUUGAGGCCCCAGUCCCACACCUUGGACACCAGCAAUUCCAAUUCCCUAUGGUUCCCAGGGCUGUAGGGAACUGAGGGGCAGCCACAUACACUUGGGGACCACCCCAGUCAUCAAGAGACACUGCUUGGAUGAACACUUCCCCUGUGGUCCGGCCCGAGGCCAGAGGCAGAGAGAAGGUCUGUCUGGGUCUAGCAGGAUGGCUUCUCCCCCACAGUCUCUGACCUCACGAUACCUCUUUCCUCAGCCUGGUGGGAAGGCAGCUAUGAUGAGGUUUGGCGGAGACGGAACAGCCUAGCCUUCUCCUGCCCUGUGAGCUGAGGGGACUGAGAACAGAUGUGAAUGGCCGAAGUCACUGGUCAGUAGGUGCCUGCUGGGGCUCCUGAGCCUGCCUUCCUGGGUUCCAGAGUAACCCUGAAAUCUGCAAGAGACAUCAUCCCCCAAACCGCCUGUUUUGCAGAGACUACUGAGACCACAGAAACGGCAUUUGGAAAUCUGCCAAAAUCCCAGGCCCUAGGCAACCACUGCCUACCUUUUCGUUCACUGUGCAAACCGGAUCUUGUAACAUAAGAAUCUAGACUCCA